AAAAAGACAGACCCUGAUUUUCCGUAUCUAACGUUUGACUGUCCGUUUUAUAUGAAAAUUUUUUAUAAUUAGUAUUUUUAUUAUUGUUAGAUGAUAAAACAUGAUUAAUACUUUAUGCGUGACUUAUCUUUUUAAUUUUUUUUCAUAAUUUUUUCAAAUAAGACGAACAGUUAAAUGUUGGAAAACCCAAUGUUUGUCUUUUU
rfam:Oryza nivara chromosome 2, whole genome shotgun sequence.